UUUCUUUGUGCAACUAAUGAAAGUUGUUUAAUCAGAUAAUUUCCAGCUGAUGAGAUUUAAAAACUUUUCGAAAAUGAAACACAACAGAAUGGCAGGAUAAUUUUUUCAAAGACUGUAAUAAUUUGGGAAUAAUUGCGCAUAAUGAAUAGAGUAUUAGGCAGAGGUAACUAAGUAACUAUUGAAAUGUUCAUUAUUAAAGUGAAUACAUCACUUGUCACUUCAUAUAAUAUUUGUUUGCACGCAGUAGAAAUAGCGCUUGAACGCUUAUUUGCCCAUAAAUUAAUAAAGUGAUAGAGUAAAGCCUUCUCCAUCAACGCGGGUAAACGAUGGGAGUAACUAUAACGCUUAGGGUAGCCAAAUGCCUCCUCGUUUAAUUCAUGAUGCACAUGAAGGGAUUAACGAGAUUCCCACGGUCUCUACUUAAUACUUGGCAAAAGCACACCCAAGAAAACGGGCUUGGCAAAUACAGUGGGGAGAGAAGACCUUGUUGAGCUCAAUAAAGAAUUAUCUCAACAAGAAGUUCAUUUAUUCAGUUGAAUUUAACAAGC
rnacentral:ncRNA from 1 species